UAAAACCUUAGCUAAGACCGUCUGUAUGCAUAGGACCUGCAGACUCCCCCAGGCCAAGUCAGGGAAGUUGUGAAGGUGGCCAUUGAUGCUGGAUAUUGCACAUUGACUGUGCCUAUGUGGAACAGAAUGAGAAUGAGGUGGGAGAAGCCAUUCAAGAGAAGAUCCAGGAGAAGGCUGUGAAGCAAGACCUCUUGAUUGUCAGCAAGGUUCUACCAAGGCCCACUUGGUGACUACAGGUUCAAGGCAGGUGGAAGUUUCUGGACCACUCCUAGAGCCCUAUCCAUCUUUACGUCACAGGCCCUCCAGUUCCUGUUGAAGCUGAGAAUGGCAG
rnacentral:lncRNA from 1 species